CCUUGAAAGCUGUUCUCGUAAGCCUUGGUUAUAAGAUAAAACAAUCCAAAACAUUCGUAUUAAUGCAAAUCAAAAUUUAUGAAGACUUGUGCCUUUCUGCAAAGCAGUUCCUGUCUGCAAUGACACAGAGGAGCGUCAAUAGUAGUAGUAGGAGUAAACGACGAGGAGUGAGAGGUCCUGUUUUCAGUGUAAAAUCUUUAUUUUUUCGACCGGUCGACAACACAGCGUCUGAUUGGUACAAGUCUGUAACAAAGCCUCUAAUUGGUAAAAGUCUGUAACAAAGCUUCUGAUUUUUACAAGUCUGCAACAGAGCUUCUGAUUGGUCAAGUGGUUCUAAAAUGGACGGCUAGAAGUCCUCUAACAACAACAGCAGCCUUUUACAUCUUGACAAGCGGGAUAAAAAUGAUUAUCAAAGUCAUUCAAUGUUGGAUUUAUCAUCAUGGACAUGUUGUACAAAGUCUCCAAAAAGACACCGGAAGUUCCAGGCCGCACUACAAAUCUUCUGAAAGGGCCACAAUCGCAAGGAAGCCCUGGCUGGAACGGCGCAAGUGUUCGAUUCCCGUCGAAACAAACGAUUCCUGAAUCCUGCCAUGCUCCGCGUGUCUCCUUCUCGCUCGUCCCUGGAUCCGUCUACCACCCUCUUAUCAAGGUUGGUUUGUUCCAGCAACACCUCCCAGUGUUUUCACUUGUCCUUCUCUGCAGGAAGCGAAUUGGACGAUCUACCCUGCGCCGAUGUUAUGCUGUGAAUCAAAAAAAAAAAAAAAAAGCCUAAUUAAAUUGCCUAAUUGGUUUCCUUGGGAAGGGUAAAACAGAUUUAAAUUGAUUACUGCUAAUGGCCUUUUGUGGAACCACAUUGGCUUCUGCUGUUUGAGGAGGAUUUAGCAAAACCAAUUAAUUUGCCUCACCUCUUCCACACCCUCCCUCUAUCUGCCUCUGUCUCUGUCUGGGAGAUUUUUCAUCAUUUGGGUUUUCCACUUUCAAAUGCCCUCCUUCAUUCUCUCUAAAUAAAUACGGAAAAUAACAUAACUGGAUAACAACUAUUCAAGCCUAAUUGGCUGAAUACUGUCAUACUGUUUUGCGGGGGGGGUGGCAGAUAUGGUAUAUAGGUCUACUGUUACGAGACUCGCCUGAAAAAAAUGAUCAUUUAAAUCUCUCUUUCAAUUAAGUUGGCCGUGCCUGUUUGCCUCCACACAGCAGCUCUCUUGCCGCUGCUGCUGCUGCUGCUGCUGCUGCUGGGCGGAAAAAAGUAAGAUGUCAAGGUCACAUUUUGUCACACAAGCUGAUUAAAUCCUUAAUACGUUCUCCCCCUCACUGUAUCCCCGGCCCUGGUGUUUCUCCUCCUCCCAUCAAAUAUUAUCACAACCAGACCUAAUGUGACACCAAAUGUUACCGUGUUAAUUACAUUUAGAGCAACUUUUGUGUAUGAUUCAAACAGAUGUCCCCCACCUGAUGGGAAAGGGAUAACAAUAAAUUUUUCUCACAGACAACUUUUAUUAGCAAAGUCGAAGGUUAAUAUAUAUGUGUGUGUGUGUGUGUGUGUUUAAAAGGCUGAUCAUGAAUGUGGCAUCAUCUGCUACUGUGUUCUGUGACUAAACAAAGCUAGAUUUCCGUGCUGAACUUCUUCCAUGUUAUUUACGUGCAGUAAAAUGAAAUGCAGUUACAGGCUGAAUAGCCCAUGACAAGUGAACGAAAAUAAGCAUUCUACAUAUUCAUAGCUGACUAUAUGGGAUUACAGAUGAGUGAAGCAACCUUCCACUGCCUCAAGGUUCACUGGAGAUGUAGGAAUAAUGACUUAAGUACUGCUGUUUAGCUGGAUUACAUGCACAAGCCUUGAGCAUUACAAAUUAAGGUUGAAAGAAGCCUGGAUUCCAUUAUGGGAUUACGUUACACACAUUUUGUUGUGAGUACUGCAUAUCUGUGGUAGCCUAUAUGUUACCCUUGAAACAAUGUUACGGCACCAACUUGGGUUGAAGUCAGUCGGUGUCCUUAAAAAGCGUGAUAAAGGAUAUGAAACACAUGAGCAGCACUACUACAAGCGAUGGAAGGAGCUGUGGAGGAAAAGAAAAACAAGUUCCUAUAAAAAAAAGGUUGUAUUGGCGUAUAAUAUUUUAACGAAACAAUAUGAAAGCAGGGAGACAAAAAGCAGGUUUUAGAUUUAAAAAAGGUUUGUUUUUCCAAAAGAUGAGGAAUGGCAAAGCAGGACUUCUAAACUGCACUGGGCCCUGUUAUGUUGACCACAUAAUAGAAAUGACUGCAAAAUAGAGCAUACUGAACUGCAACGGAACUAAAACUGAGUGAGCUAACACUAUCUAAAAUAAAUACUAACUAAUGCAAAGUGAUUAAAAAGGUCAAAUUAUAUAUGUAUUUCCACACUGCAGAUUCAUAUUGUAAAUAUGUUUCUUUCAUGUGUUCUUUUAUGCAGUGUGAUAUUCACACUGUAUAUGGAAAAUAAUUAAUCAGCGAUAAGUGUCAGCCUCAGCAGAUGUGAUCAGGGGAUGUUCUUGAAAGCAAAAAAAGACAGUAAAAGAGGUCAAAAUACACAUCACUGAGAUGUUUCUCUAAAAUCCAUAAUGGGUUUUUACCAUAUCAGACAAGAGUUUCAACCACUAGUGUGUAAUUUCAGUCUCUCUCUCUGCCUCUGCAAUUGUUUUUCACAUGUUCUAUUUGCCAGCCACAUCUCCUUUCAGUUUUACCUCUUUAUGCCUACUGUACCUGCAUGGGAGGAAAUGAAUCUGAGACAACCCUUUACAAACCGCACAAUGCUAAAGAAAGUCAAACUGUGUCCGGGAAGAGGAAAUUGCCACCCAGUCGAACAAAAAGCACGAAAUGUAUUUUCCACCUCUGAAACUCCCUGUCCAUUGCGUUCAUCUUUGGCCUGAGGUCUGCAUGCCAAAGGCCACAACACAGCCAUCACUAUCAGCCAUCAUUAUCAGUUGACAAAAAUAAACACAGUUUUGUUUUUUCAGUGAAUCAUUUGUGUCACUCUAAACCGGUAUAAGCAUCAAAGUCAGAUAUGACAUAAAGAUUUUAGACAUGAGGAUGAAGUCACUUUUCAGAAAUAUCUUAUCUAUAAAUGCACAGCUUGUCUUGCAAGCAACGUUCUCCCCCAACUUGAUGUAGGUAUAUUUGUAACAUUAAAAGACCAUUUUAUAUAUAUUUUUGCAAAGAGCACAAUAUAAGCACUUUGUAACCUAGGUUUUAAAGGUGCUAUAGAAAUAUAAUUUUACUUUACUUUCUUAAACGCAUAGGCCUUGACUUAGGGCAAACAUUUUG
rnacentral:lncRNA from 1 species